rnacentral:rRNA from 1 species
AUUGAACGCUGGCGGCAGGCCUAACACAUGCAAGUCGAGCGAGCGGCGGACGGGUGAGUAAUGUCUGGGAAACUGCCUGAUGGAGGGGGAUAACUACUGGAAACGGUAGCUAAUACCGCAUACCAUCAGAUGUGCCCAGAUGGGAUUAGCUAGUAGGUGGGGUAACGGCUCACCUAGGCGACGAUCCCUAGCUGGUCUGCUAGGAUGACCAGCCACACUGGAACUGAGACACGGUCCAGACUCCUACGGGAGGCAGCAGUAGGGAAUCUUGCACAAUGGGCGCAAGCCUGAUGCAGCAAUGCCGCGUGUGUGAAGAAGGCCUUCGGGUUGUAAAGCACUUUCAGCGGGGAGGCGUUACCCACAGAAGAAGCACCGGCUAACUCCGUGCCAGCAGCCGCGGUAAUAC